rnacentral:rRNA from 1 species
GUGUCAGCCGCCGCGGUAAUACGAAGGGGGCUAGCGUUGCUCGGAAUCACUGGGCGUAAAGGGCGCGUAGGCGGCGUUUUAAGUCGGGGGUGAAAGCCUGUGGCUCAACCACAGAAUGGCCUUCGAUACUGGGACGCUUGAGUAUGGUAGAGGUUGGUGGAACUGCGAGUGUAGAGGUGAAAUUCGUAGAUAUUCGCAAGAACACCGGUGGCGAAGGCGGCCAACUGGACCAUUACUGACGCUGAGGCGCGAAAGCGUGGGGAGCAAACAGGAUUAGAAACCCUUGUAGUCC